rnacentral:lncRNA from 1 species
UUUUCCUGGGACAAUUUGGCAUCUAAAAUAACCACCCGUGAGUACUGGAACAUUGAACAUUUGGACUUUAAAUAAGAACUGGCGAAAUAGAAAGGAAUUUGGACUUAAAAAUUUACCUUAAUUUGGUACUGAAACGGGAAGGUCUAAACAGGAAGUCAGCCUUCCGUUUCCUUGUAGCCAGAAUAAAGCAAAGACAACGUAAACUAGAGCUUUAAAAAUCACUUUCAAAGGAUUGGCUUUCAUCAUUUAAAAUCGCUGAACCCCCCCUUCGGCAGCAGAAGAAGUAGGGGGAUCUUUUUUGGGCUGUUUAAACCUGCAGAAGUGAGUUUAAAGCAAAGUAAUUUUCCACCGUCCUGAUCGUGGAGCGGGGUGUCAGAAUUGACGUUUGAAGCUCAUUGACCAGAAACAAAUGUCUUUGACAGAUAGUUAAAAGAAGAGAAACAUAGUGAUUCCAUUGUUUCCUUUCGCAUUCUAAAAAGAACAAAUAUGGACAAAAUACCUUAAAAAAGAAACUUUGUUGCUGUUGUUUUUAAAAGAAAGAACAAUCAGAAGAUUUCCCCCUAGAGGGGGACUGUGAAAUUGUAACUAAUUCCUGGGAGCUUGCAGCUGCCACAGAUUACAACCGUGGGAAAGGAUUUGUGACCUUGCAGGACAAUGUCUUCAGAAGCACUGUUGGGUGCUCUCUGCAAAAUAAAUGCCCUAUUGGAUCAGUUAAGCCAGAAGACGGAUUUGAUGACUAAUGCGGCCAGAACCUUUGAACAGGUAGUGGGAAAUUAUAUGGAGCCCACCCAGGAGCUAAAACAGGAGUGUGCCAUGACAGAACAGUUGAGAGAAGAGGAUGCUGCUGAAUCUUGGGCGCCAGAGACAGAGGGAGCUGUGGCCCAGCAGGAACAUAAAUUUUUGGAUUUGAUAAAUGAACUUGGAAAAUACCAGACUUGGAAAGACAAAGUUUGGUUUGGUUUGGAAAUGGGGGGUUGGACAGACCCCCCUAUACAGGGAGAUUUGGACUUUUCGAGUCUGGCAAUGGGCCGCCAGAUGUUUGGAGCUGUGGGGGCUCUUAAUUUUGGAGGGAAUCUGAAACAUGUUUUUAAAUACCACCUGGAGUCUAGUCUGGACUAUGGAAAAGGGGCUGAUUUGUUGAAAAGGGUCAAAAACAUUACCAAGCUGGAGUUCCCACGAAUGAAAGGAAAAUAUGAAGAAGAGCUGCGGAAGGCACAUGGAAGAGACUUGAGGGCUUCGGAUAUAAGAUUACCAGGUUAAUGUGCUAGAUUAAUAAGAUAAAAAGGACUGACAAAACCCGGGACCAGGAGGAAGGGACGCUGGAUGAAGAUUGGAUUGUUUAUUUAUUUUUUUAUCAUUAGGAUUGUUCUAUAAAAUUGAUGAAUGCUAGAAAAAUGUUGAAAUGAAAUUACUUGGCUCUUGUAAAAAAUUUUAAAGAAUUUGGUAAGAAUGUUAUGGCUAGGAGAAGUUGGUAAAAAUAAGAUUUAAGUUUUAAACUUUAAGGUUUUCUAUAAGAUAAGAUGAAAAUAGAUUAAGGUAAUGUAAUGACAGAAUACUAUGAAAUAUGGAAAGGAUUUGCUGCGAUUAUUAUUAAUCAGGAUACAAGAAAAGGGAGGAGGAGGAGGUCAAAGAAAGAAGGUAUUGAAAGUGGAGAACUUGAGAAUGAUGGUUUUAUUUUUUAUUUUUAUUUUUCUGUCUUGUCUUUUUUUGUGUAAUUUAAAAAAAAAAUUUCCCCCAAUAAAUAUCAUUAAAAAAAAAAAAA